rnacentral:rRNA from 1 species
UACGUAGGGUGCGAGCGUUAAUCGGAUUUACUGGGCGUAAAGCGUGCGCAGGCGGCCCGUUAAGACAGGUGUGAAAUCCCUGGGCUCAACCUAGGAAUUGCGCUUGUGACUGGCGGGCUCGAGUACGGUAGAGGGGGGUGGAAUUCCUGGUGUAGCAGUGAAAUGCGUAGAGAUCAGGAGGAACACCGAUGGCGAAGGCAGGCCCCUGGGCCUGUACUGACGCUCAUGCACGAAAGCGUGGGGAGCAAACAGG